rnacentral:tRNA from 1 species
UCUAAGGAUGAGUGAAAGUAAAAUUUCAUUCUAAAUAAUAUACAUCGGUAAUGUUGACCGUCCUCAUUUCUCUUCUUAAGGUAGUGUUUCUCUUGCAUGGGGGCCGGUAGCUCAGUUGGUUAGAGCACACCCUUGAUAAGGGUGGGGUCGAAAGUUCGAGUCUUUCUCGGCCCACCAAUAAAAGAUCAUGGGGGAUUAGCUCAGCUGGGAGAGCGCCUGAUUUGCAUUCAGGAGGUCAGCGGUUCGAUCCCGCUAUCCUCCACCAAAAAACACUUAGUUAUAAAAAACGUAAAUAAAAAUAAUAAUUAAUAUCAAUAUCUAUAUCCGAACAUUAGUAAUGUUAUUAGCUAAUGUUCAAAAUAAAAAUUUGAUUCAACACAGAAUUUUUUUCUG